GAAAGCAACGAAGUCAGACAUGAGUGACAACUGCAUAAGAGGAAAGUCAGGAGUCUCAAAAAGGAAAGCUAGGAAAAAACCAACGGUCACUUCGCUUAUGCCUAACCGCACACACUUGACAAAAGAUGCCCGCGUCCACCUAAACGCAACGGCCGGAGUAGUUCCCAGUCCGUUAUAUCAAUCGAUGAACUUGGGUAGAAGAGGAGCACUCUUUGGUCAAAACUAUCACGUUUCAAGUCUGAGAUACGUAAACAGAGACGAUUCCAGGCCCCGGUUUACUCCGCCUAUGUUCAAGGCGAUAAAUUGAUCGAGGUAUAUUGUCCUACUGUUGGCCGUGGAUUUAAUCCGCGCUACAAUUCACUUCUGAUUGAACCUGAUGUUCAACUUUUCUUACCAAGAAUCACAGGAGUGAGCACAAGCAUGUCGCAAGCCAUGGAAGAUCUAUACACUUUUCAUCGCAUAGCUACAGAGUUUACUAUUCCACCCAUAAACAUCGUUGAUUAAAACAACUCCUUUAGUAAAAAGCAACGAUGCACAUACUUAAAAUUGUAUUGAAAUGUCUUAGACAUAGUUGAGUGAUAAGCUCUGAAUUGUAGUGCAUAUCGUAAGAUAAUGUCUAAACGCCAUAGUUGUAGUGACGUUUUUCUACAAGAGAAACUUUUCACGACACAAUAAAAUUGCUUCACCAAAAA